CUCGAACGCCAGGCUGUCCUCCUCUGCCGCACUGCCUGUCACAAAAUCCGGGUGCCAAAUUAAAAACCCUAACCCUAAAAGACCCUUUCAGAAGCUAAUUCUGGCUUUCAGCCGCUUCUUUUAUACUUUUGUUAUUCUUUGAUAGAAAUGGUUGGAAAUUGUUGUUAGGCUGGUGAAAAUCUAAAAAUAAGAAUAUAAAAAUCAUGUCUUUGGAAGUGACUAGAAAGGAGACUCAACAGUCAACGCCACCGAUAGAUGGUCAUAAGGGGAACGGCAUGGCGGUGAUGCCGGGCAUGGCGACGAUGCACCGGUUACGGCUGAACCCUAACACGGAGCACAAGCCGGAGAGCUACGAGGGUUUGCAGUUGGAGUUCAGUCCGUUUCUGUUCAGCUCGCUGGAACGUUACUUGCCUUCUCCGAUGCUCUCAUUCUCUCGCGACUCCAAGCUCUAUUACAUGCGCGAUAUUGUUCUUCGUUACUCUCCUGAAGGGGAACGAUCUCGCGUUCAAAGGCAUCAUGAAUACAGCCAAAAGAUUAUAUCACACUAUCAGCCUCUGCAUAGGGAAUUGUAUGCAAUGCAUGCCUCAAACUUCUUUGUCCCCUCAUUUCUCAAAGCAAUUAAUGAGAAUAAAGAGGAAAGUUUUAGAAGUAUAAUGGCUGAACCUCCUUUAGGAGUUUUACAUUUGAAAUGCUUCAGCAAUGUUUCUGUGAAUUGUUGUUGUUGUCUUAGGUAUCAUCUCUGCCUUCUUCUCUUCUGGUAUUUUUUGCUUUAGCUUUCUUGUUUUUUUAAUUUUGGUGCACGUUAAAAUUUUAAUUAUUGAUGCUUACUCCGACUUAUUCCGUUAAUCUGCUUGUUUAUAAUACCUUUGUGUUAUCUUUUCUUUUAUUGGUAAUACUGUUAUAGUCUUUUAGCAUAAAAUCUUCGUGUUAAGUUGUAGCUUGACAAACUUCUGUAUCUUUGUGUUUGUAGGUUUUCACGUGGAUGAUUCAGAAAUCACCUUAAAUGUUUGCUUGGGUAAAAAACUUUCUGGUGGAGACUUGUUCUUUCGAGGCUUCAUUGUGAUAAACAUGUUAAUACAGAAACCAAAUCAGAUCUGUAAUAGCUGCAUGUUCUACAAAGCGUUAGGAUGAAGUUUAGUGUCAGUUUGAUGAAAAGAUUCCUAUAGAAGCAAGUCAACAAGAAGAAUAAGCCCCAUCUCAGAUGCAGCGCCACUCAGAAACUACUGAAGAGGGAAGGGAAACCUGCGACUUGAACUCAAGUUUUUGCUUGUGAAAUUGUUAAUAGGUGGAUCCUUGCCAUUUAUCACCCAAAAGGAAAAUUCUUGUUCAUAUUUUGUAAGUGAAGCAGUUUUGCCAAAUUGGGUUGGUAAAAGAUGGAAGUCUUUUUGUGUGUCUUCAUUGUACUUCAAUGCUGUACAUAUAUAGGCAUCUUGUCUGAGUGUCCUGGCCGACUAAACUCUUUUGUAGUUACGGUUGAAUGUGUCUUUAACAUUUUAGAAUGGCAGCAGCUUCUUCACAUAAAAGUAAAUACUCCAUUGUUUUAUGGAUCUAAUGUUGGCUGUUUCGAGCA